ACCUACGGGGGGCAGCAGUGAGGAAUAUUGGUCAAUGGGCGGAAGCCUGAACCAGCCAAGUCGCGUGAGGGAAUAAGGCCCUACGGGUCGUAAACCUCUUUUGCCGGGGAGCAAGGGCCGGGACGCGUCCCGGCCCGGAGAGUACCCGGAGAAAAAGCAUCGGCUAACUCCGUGCCAGCAGCCGCGGUAAUACGGAGGAUGCGAGCGUUAUCCGGAUUUAUUGGGUUUAAAGGGUGCGUAGGCGGGCUUUUAAGUCAGAUGUGAAAACUAUGGGCUCAACCCAUAGCCUGCAUUUGAAACUGUAU
rnacentral:rRNA from 1 species